rnacentral:rRNA from 1 species
UACGUAGGGGGCAAGCGUUGUCCGGAAUCAUUGGGCGUAAAGAGCGUGUAGGCGGCCCGAUUAGUCCGCUGUGAAAGUCCAGGGCUCAACCCUGGAAUGCCGGUGGAAACUGUCGGGCUAGAGUCCGGAAGGGGCGAGUGGAAUUCCUGGUGUAGCGGUGAAAUGCACAGAUAUCAGGAGGAACACCAAUGGCGAAGGCAGCUCGCUGGGACGUGACUGACGCUGAGACGCGAAAGCGUGGGGAGCAAACAGG